rnacentral:rRNA from 1 species
UACGUAGGUGGCAAGCGUUGUCCGGAUUUAUUGGGUUUAAAGGGUGCGUAGGCGGCCCUGUAAGUCAGUGCUGAAAUAUCCCAGCUUAACUGGGAGGGUGGCAUUGAUACUGCGGGGCUAGAGUACAGAUGAGGUAGGCGGAAUUGACGGUGUAGCGGUGAAAUGCUUAGAUAUCGUCAAGAACACCUAUAGCGAAGGCAGCUUACUAGGCUGUAACUGACGCUGAGGCACGAAGGCCAGGGGAGCAAACGGG